CAGCAGCCACGGUAGUACGUAGGUGGCAAGCGUUGUCCGGAAUUAUUGGGCGUAAAGGGCUCGCAGGCGGUUUCUUAAGUCUGAUGUGAAAGCCCCUGGCUCAACCGGGGAGGGUCAUUGGAAACUGGGAAACUUGAGUGCAGAAGAGGAGAGUGGAAUUCCACGUGUAGCGGUGAAAUGCGUAGAGAUGUGGAGGAACACCAGUGGCGAAGGCGACUCUCUGGUCUGUAACUGACGCUGAGGAGCGAAAGCGUGGGGAGCGAACAGGAUUAGAUACCCGUGUAGUCCCUGUCUCUUAUAC
rnacentral:rRNA from 1 species